ACGCUCGACACCUACGGGAGGCAGCAGUUGGGAAUAUUGGACAAUGGAGGAAACUCUGAUCCAGUGACGCCGCGUGAAGGAAGAAGGUCUUCGGAUUGUAAACUUAUUUUGUCAGGGAAGAAAAAAUGACUGUACCUGAAGAAAAAGCACCGGCUAACUACGUGCCAGCAGCCGGGUAAUCUGAGCGGGCUGGCAAGGC
rnacentral:rRNA from 1 species